rnacentral:rRNA from 1 species
CGGAUUGCAGGCUGCAACCCGCCUGCAUGAAGUUGGAAUCGCUAGUAAUCGCGGAUCAGCAUGCCGCGGUGAAUACGUUCCCGGGCCUUGUACACACCGCCCGUCACACCAUGAGAGUCGGGAACACCCGAAGUCCGUAGCCUAACCGCAAGGGGGGCGCGGCCGAAGGUGGGUUCGAUAAUUGGGGUGAAGUCGUAACAAGGUAAC